GGCCUAUUCUUGAUUACUUGUUU
rnacentral:miRNA from 1 species